rnacentral:tRNA from 1 species
GGCUCCGUAGCUUAACUGAAUAGAGCAUCUGACUACGGAUCAGAAGGUUGGGGGUUUGAAUCCCUUCGGAGUCA